AUUCAGAUGAUGAGUCUCGAAUAAGACAAAAUGUGCAUCAUGAAU
rfam:Schistosoma rodhaini strain Burundi genome assembly, scaffold: SROB_scaffold0007485